AUUGAACGCUGGCGGCAUGCCUUACACAUGCAAGUCGAACGGUAACAGGUUAAGCUGACGCGUGGCGAACGGGUGAGUAAUAUAUCGGAACGUGCCCAGUCGUGGGGGAUAACGUAGCGAAAGCUACGAUAAUACCGCAUACGAUCUCCGGAUGAAAGCGGGGGAUGGCAAGCCCUCGCGCGAUUGGAGCGGCCGAUAUCAGAUUAGGUUGUUGGUGAGGUAAAAGCUCACCAAGCCUGCGAUCUGUAGCUGGUCUGAGAGGACGACCAGCCACACUGGAACUGAGACACGGUCCAGACUCCUACGGGAGGCAGCAGUGGGGAAUUUUGGACAAUGGACGCAAGUCUGAUCCAGCAAUGCCGCGUGCAGGACGAAGGCCUUCGGGUUGUAAACUGCUUUUGUACGGAACGAAACGGUGAGCUCUAAUACAGUUUGCUAAUGACGGUACCGUAAGAAUAAGCACCGGCUAACUACGUGCCAGCCGCCGCGGUAA
rnacentral:rRNA from 1 species